AUUGAACGCUGGCGGCAGGCCUAACACAUGCAAGUCGAAUGGUAACAGGAAACAGCUUGCUGUUUCGCUGACGAGUGGCGGACGGGUGAGUAAUGUCUGGGAAACUGCCUGAUGGAGGGGGAUAACUACUGGAAACGGUAGCUAAUACCGCAUAACGUCGCAAGACCAAAGAGGGGGACCUUCGGGCCUCUUGCCAUCAGAUGUGCCCAGAUGGGAUUAGCUAGUAGGUGGGGUAACGGCUCACCUAGGCGACGAUCCCUAGCUGGUCUGAGAGGAUGACCAGCCACACUGGGACUGAGACACGGUCCAGACUCCUACGGGAGGCAGCAGUGGGGAAUAUUGCACAAUGGGCGCAAGCCUGAUGCAGCCAUGCCGCGUGUAUGAAGAAGGCCUUCGGGUUGUAAAGUACUUUCAGCGGGGAGGAAGGGAGUAAAGUUAAUACCUUUGCUCAUUGACGUUACCCACAGAAGAAGCACCGGCUAACUCCGUG
rnacentral:rRNA from 1 species